rnacentral:rRNA from 1 species
AGGAUUAACGCUGGCGGCGUGCCUGACACAUGCAAGUCGAACGAGGCCGCAAGGCCGAGUGGCGGACGGGUGAGUAACACGUGACCAACCAACCUCGAAGUUGGGAAUAGCUCUGCGAAAGUAGGGGUAAUACCGAAUGUGGCCCAGGGCGGGCAUCCGCCUUGGUCUAAAGAUUCAUCGCUUCGAGACGGGGUCGCGGCCUAUUAGCUUGUUGGUGAGGUAACGGCUCACCAAGGCGAUGAUGGGUAGCUGGUCUGAGAGGACGACCAGCCACACUGGGACUGAGACACGGCCCAGACUCCUACGGGAGGCAGCAGUGAGGAAUCUUCCGCAAUGGGCGAAAGCCUGACGGAGCAACGCCGCGUGUGGGAUGAAGACUCUAGGGUUGUAAACCACUGGUCGGAGGGGACGAGUCGUGACCGGUACCCUCCAAAGAAACGCCCCGGCUAACUACGCGCCAGCACGCCGC